GACGAACCGUGCGAACGUUGUUCGGAAUCACUGGGCUUAAAGGGCGCGUAGGCGGACCGCGAGUCAGGGGUGAAAGCCCGCGGCCUAACCGCGGAAGUGCCCCUGAUACCGCCGGCCUUGAGGGGGAUAGGGGCGUGCGGAACUUCGGGUGGAGCGGUGAAAUGCGUAGAUAUCCGAAGGAACACCGGUGGCGAAGGCGGGUCUCUGGGCCGAUACUGACGCUGAGGAGCGAAAGCGUGGGGAGGCGAACAGG
rnacentral:rRNA from 1 species